rnacentral:lncRNA from 1 species
GAUGCAUCUCUUGCUUUGACCGGGUGUUGAUUACACCCCAUCGCUCUAACUGGCUCAUUACUUAUCUGGUAGAAGUUAUCGAACGUGGUCAUUUAAUCUGACACUAGUUAUCUAACUUGACAAUGAUAUUAUUUUCUUCUUAGGCAUGUUUCUGUAAUAAAAAAUAAUAAACUAAAAUCCUUCUGAGGGGCAUUCUUUUUCAAUUUGCUUGGUGUAAAAUAAAUCAUAAUUGGUUUUUUUUAGAAGAUAAUUCGAAAUACCUAUUUUAUUGUAGAGUAAUGGUACUUACAUUGUGCAAGUUGCGUUGUGCAGUAUGAACGCGGUAUAGUAGGUGAUAAAUCAUGAAACCAAAAAUAAAUUAAUCCAAGAAAAAAAUAUAACAAUACAACCACAUGCAAAGUUACUUAUAAAAAAC